UAUUAUAUCUGACUAAAGUUGAUAGGUUCAUGUUAUUUAUUUACAUUAUUAACUCUGAUAUUUAAAAAUAACCCAUGGCCCUACCGAACUUAUUCAUGUCUAUUCAUUGAUGGAUUGCUAUCAAUAAGAUGUGAAUUCUGAAAUAUUGUUGCUUAUUUUGAAUUUCUUAUUAUUUUAGGAGAGAAAGGAUGUUAUUGAGAAAAAUAAAAAGCUUGAGCGCAAGAACUGGUUAUAUUGAUUGUUAUCUUGAAAAAUUAUAUAUUGAUCGUUGAAAUCAUUUUCCUUAUCAGAAUACCCUGAUUGUGAAGUGUGAGGCCAAAGACGAUUGUUGUUGUAUAUUGUAGAUAUCUUGAUGAAAUUAUCAUGGUCGGUUAUGAGGUAUAAGACGUGUAAUAAUAUUAAUUUAAAAAUAAUAUAUACUCCCAACUCUAUAAAAUGAGUUUAUCUCUAUUUAAAGAUAUAUUCGUUCAUUAAAUGAAGAGGAUCGCAACUCCAUAAUAUAACAUAUAAUAUGAUGAUUGUACUUGUUGAUUGGAUUACUCUUGAAGUUGCCAACAAAGUAAUAAAAAAUUGUGCUAUUUGUGUUGUUAUUUGUUCAAUCAAAAAGAUAUUGAAGGAACUAACAUAAAAGAUGGCAUCACAAUAUGAUUUUACAUUGUCGGUGUAUAUUAGAGCUUCAAGACUAUAAUGAGCAUAUUUCAUUUGGCUAGU
rnacentral:lncRNA from 1 species